rnacentral:rRNA from 1 species
UGGGGAAUAUUGGACAAUGGGCGCAAGCCUGAUCCAGCAAUGCCGCGUGGGUGAAGAAGGUCUUCGGAUUGUAAAGCCCUUUCGACGGGGACGAUGAUGACGGUACCCGUAGAAGAAGCCCCGGCUAACUUCGUGCCAGCAGCCGCGGUAAUACGAAGGGGGCUAGCGUUGCUCGGAAUUACUGGGCGUAAAGGGCGCGUAGGCGGCACUGUUAGUCAGGCGUGAAAGUCCUGGGCUCAACCUGGGAACUGCGCUUGAUACGGCAGAGCUAGAGGAUGGAAGAGGGUCGCGGAAUUCCCAGUGUAGAGGUGAAAUUCGUAGAUAUUGGGAAGAACACCGGUGGCGAAGGCGGCGACCUGGUCCAUUACUGACGCUGAGGCGCGACAGCGUGGGGAGCAAACAG